AACGAACGCUGGCGGCAUGCCUAACACAUGCAAGUCGAACGAGACCUUCGGGACUAGUGGCGCACGGGUGCGUAACGCGUGGGAACCUGCCCUUAGGUUCGGAAUAACUCCCCGAAAGGGGUGCUAAUACCGGAUAAUGUCUUCGGACCAAAGAUUUAUCGCCUUUGGAUGGGCCCGCGUUGGAUUAGCUAGUUGGUAGGGUAAAAGCCUACCAAGGCGACGAUCCAUAGCUGGUCUGAGAGGAUGAUCAGCCACACUGGGACUAAGACACGGCCCAGACUCCUACGGGAGGCAGCAGUGGGGAAUAUUGGACAAUGGGCGAAGGCCUGGUCCAGCAAUGCCGCGUGAGUGAUGAAGGCCUUAGGGUUGUAAAGCUCUUUUACCCGGGAUGAUAAUGACAGUACCGGGAGAAUAAGCUCCGGCUAACUCCGUG
rnacentral:rRNA from 1 species